GAUGAAGAACGCAGCGAAAUGCGAUAAGUAAUGUGAAUUGCAGAAUUCAGUGAAUCAUCGAAUCUUUGAACGCACCUUGCGCUCCUUGGUAUUCCGAGGAGCAUGCCUGUUUGAGUGUCAUGAAAUUCUCAACCUUUUCAGCUUUCUUUGUUGAUCAGGCUUGGAUGUGGGAGUAUGCGGGCUUCUCAGAAGUCGGCUCUCCUGAAAUGCAUUAGCGGGACCUUUGUUGCCUGGCUUUGGUGUGAUAAUUAUCUACGUCAUUGUAGUCAAGCAGCUUAAAAUGAGGUUUCAGCUUCUAACCGUCUCCCCUGAGACAACUUUUUGACAAUUUGACCUCAAAUCAGGUAGGACUACCCGCUGAACUUAAGCAUAACAAUAAGCGGAGGA
rnacentral:misc_RNA from 1 species